rnacentral:rRNA from 1 species
GACGAACGCUGGCGGCGUGCUUAACACAUGCAAGUCGAACGGAAAGGCCCUGCUUGCAGGGUACUCGAGUGGCGAACGGGUGAGUAACACGUGGGUGAUCUGCCCUGCACUUCGGGAUAAGCCUGGGAAACUGGGUCUAAUACCGGAUAGGAGCCAUUUUUAGUGUGAUGGUUGGAAAGUUUUUUCGGUGUAGGAUGAGCUCGCGGCCUAUCAGCUUGUUGGUGGGGUAAUGGCCUACCAAGGCAGCGACGGGUAGCCGGCCUGAGAGGGUGGACGGCCACAUUGGGACUGAGAUACGGCCCAGACUCCUACGGGAGGCAGCAGUGGGGAAUAUUGCACAAUGGGCGCAAGCCUGAUGCAGCGACGCCGCGUGGGGGAUGACGGCCUUCGGGUUGUAAACUCCUUUCGCUGGGGACGAAGCUUUUUGUGACGGUACCUAGAUAAGAAGCACCGGCUAACUACGUG